rnacentral:rRNA from 1 species
UACGUAGGGGGCAAGCGUUGUCCGGAAUCAUUGGGCGUAAAGAGCGUGUAGGCGGCCAGAUAAGUCCGCUGUGAAAUCUCGAGGCUCAACUUCGAGCUGUCGGUGGAAACUGUCUGGCUAGAGUCCGGAAGAGGAGAAUGGAAUUCCUGGUGUAGCGGUGAAAUGCGCAGAUAUCAGGAGGAACACCGGUGGCGAAGGCGGCAUCCUGGACCGAUAUUGACGCUGAGGCGCGAAAGCCAGGGGAGCAAACGGG